UCUCCUCCUCCUCCUCCUCCUCCUCCUCCCCCCGUUCCUGUUCCCGGUUCUCACGGACCCCGUUACUGUGAACCAAUGAGGGUGAAGAAAUCUGCGACCAAUUACAAAAAAACGCCCACACAGCACAGCAUUCUGGAGGAGAGGGGUGUUCGGUUUGUAGCACAGGACGCACCGGAUGCCUGCCAUAACCACCCGUCUCAGUACAAGGCGAGAAACGGGUGGGCAGGUAGCUGGUGUCCUUGGCACGGUGCUGAAGGGCAGCCAGUCUGGCAAUCUGCUGGAAAUGCUGUUCACUGACUUUACCCUGAGGAACCACACUGAGCAGCGCCUUCAGAGCACGUCUUGAUUUUCAAGUGCCUUUCAAUCCCACCUGGCAGCAAGAACAGCUGUCUCUUGGAGCUCCGCCCAGCCUGCACACAAACAACAAAUCAGAGGGAGACGUCGCAGGAGAGAUAAACGCUGGAGGACACCGGAUGCACGGAGAAUUGUGAUGCUGCUGAGGGCAAGGCAGCAGUCACAUUUCAACAUGACAAAGGUGUCUUAAACUCCACUUUACUCUACACAGUCACAACUUAUACAUAAUACAUUGAACUAGGCUGGCAACGUUAUGCCUUCAAGAUUGUUCAUGACAACAUUAUAUUAACUGAAUUGUAAGUAAGCCAGCACUUUAAUAGGUUACAGGUUUUACUGCAUUUUUUAUCAAUAAACUAAAAGUGGCAUCAUUACAUUAAAUAGCAAAGCACUUAUUGAAACAUCAACCCUUAAAGUUACUUGUCUUGUGGAUUUCUGGUAGUGAAUGACAUUUUUAGUGAUGUAGCCAGAGAAGAAAAGAAUAACACAUUGCUCAAUUAUAGACAAACCAGCAU